rnacentral:tRNA from 1 species
GGAGAGGUGGCCGAGUUGGUUUAAGGCGGCGCCCUGCUAAGGCGUUUUCCGACUUAACGUUGGAACGGGAGUUCGAAUCUCCCCCUCUCCG